GUGGGGAAUCUUCCGCAAUGGACGAAAGUCUGACGGAGCAACGCCGCGUGAGUGAUGAAGGUCUUCGGAUUGUAAAGCUCUGUUAAUCGGGACGAAAGAGCCUAGUGUGAAUAAUGCUAGGAAGUGAUGGUACCGGAAUAGAAAGCCACGGCUAACUACGUGCCAGCAGCCGCGGUAAUACGUAGGUGGCAAGCGUUGUCCGGAAUUAUUGGGCGUAAAGCGCGGGCAGGCGGAUCUGCCAGUCUGUCUUAAAAGUUCGGGGCUUAACCCCGUGAUGGGAUGGAAACUACAGAUCUAGAGUAUCGGAUAGGAAAGUGGAAUUCCUAGUGUAGCGGUGAAAUGCGUAGAUAUUAGGAAGAACACCAGUGGCGAAGGCGACUUUCUGGACGAACACUGACGCUGAGGCGCGAAAGCCAGGGGAGCGAACGGGAUUAGAUACCCCAGUAGUCC
rnacentral:rRNA from 1 species